GCACCCGUAGCUCAAUUGGAUAGAGCGCUUGGCUACGGACCAGGAGGUUGCAGGUUCGACUCCUGCCGGGUGUACCA
rnacentral:tRNA from 1 species